rnacentral:rRNA from 1 species
AACACGUAAAGAACCUGCCCUCAGGUCUGGGAUAACCACGAGAAAUCGGGGCUAAUACCGGAUGGGUCACCGGACCGCAUGGUCCGAGGAUGAAAGACGCUUCGGCGUCGCCUGGGGAUGGCUUUGCGGUGCAUUAGCUAGUUGGUGGGGUAAUGGCCCACCAAGGCGACGAUGCAUAGCCGACCUGAGAGGGUGAUCGGCCACACUGGGACUGAGACACGGCCCAGACUCCUACGGGAGGCAGCAGUAGGGAAUCUUCCACAAUGGACGAAAGUCUGAUGGAGCAACGCCGCGUGAACGAUGAAGGCCUUCGGGUCGUAAAGUUCUGUUGUAAGGGAAGAACAAGUGCCGCAGGCAAUGGCGGCACCUUGACGGUACCUUGCGAGAAAGCCACGGCUAACUACGUGCCAGCAGCCGCGGUAAUACGUAGGUGGCAAGCGUUGUCCGGAAUUAUUGGGCGUAAAGCGCGCGCAGGCGGCCUCUUAAGUCUGAUGUGAAAGCCCCCGGCUCAACCGGGGAGGGCCAUUGGAAACUGGGAGGCUUGAGUAUAGGAGAGAAGAGUGGAAUUCCACGUGUAGCGGUGAAAUGCGUAGAGAUGUGGAGG